rfam:Oleiphilus sp. HI0065 HI0065_c89, whole genome shotgun sequence.
AUCAAUCUGUCGGGGAGCUUUUGGUCGUAUAAAAGCUGAGACUGCCAGCCUAUCGAGCUAUUAGUGCAAAAGGCAGGACCCGUUGAACCUGAUAUGGUUAAUACCAGCGUAGGGAACAGUGUGCUUGCUUCG